ensembl:lncRNA
AUAUGUCUUUGUGUACAUCUAAUUGUUAGUGUGUCCCGAUGACGUAGCGUCCCGAUGACGUGGCGUCCUGAUGGCGUCCUGAUGGCGUCCUGUUGGUCUGCAGACAAGGAGAAGAGACAUCUGGAUUUGCUCCUGAGGGGUUGACGCGGCGUCCUGAUGGCGUCCUGUUGGUCUGCAGACAAGGAGAAGAGACAAAUGUAUUUGCUCCUGAGGGGUGGACGCGACGUCCUGAUGGACUCCUGAUGGCGUCCAGAUGACGUGGCGUCCUGAUGGCGUCCUGUUAGUCUGCAGACAAGGAGAAGAGACAUCUGGAUUUGCUCCUGAGGGGUUGACGUGACGUCCUGAUGGCGUCCCGUUGACGUGGCGUCCGGAUGGCGUCCCGUUGACGUGGCGUCCUGAUGGCGUCCUGAUGGCGUCUCGUUGGUCUGCAGACAAGGAGAAGAGACGUGAGGAGGAUCAUCAGGAUGUGAGACAAGAUUCAUAGAUCCAAUUAUUUUAAUU